GGAAGACACAGUACAUCUUCGCUCGCCAUCAUUUUUGGCUGUUGAGGAGAAAGGAUUGAAGGAUGCUUCACAAUCAGCAACUGCACAGAUUCCGUGAGCUACACUUUGGUCCUAUCAAGACAGGCAGGCAGCUGCAUGAGAGGUGGAAAGAGAGAGAAAAUGACUGAGAUGAAAUCACCAACAACAGCUAUUGCAGGAAGAAAGGCACUGUUGGAUCUCAGCCACAGUACUUCUGCAACCUGGUUUGAAUGGGCCUGAUGGGAUGCCAUAAUGGAACCUACACCGAACAAGGUGCGUCUAUCUCAUCUCCUCAGGCAUUCUUGUCAUGGCCACUUGAGAGCCUGGUGAGGAAGAGCAGUGACUGGAAGAGACCAGGUGAAAAACAGACGGAUGGCUUGGAGAUUUAGCCCUCUGCUGGUUCUGUACUUCUGCAACAGAAGAACUUCUGCAACAGCUGAACUUCCAGUAGAUCUGAGCACUGUCCAUAAUAAUAUCAGAUUUCUUGGUUGCCUAACAGGCCAGCUUACUGCUGCCCGAGAAAUACUGCUAGGAAGUCAAGGCUAAGUAUUGUUAACAACAGUGGGGUUAUGACCUGGAAACAUAGUGGAGAAACUGAAUGGGCUAGUAGUGAAAAUGUAUGUAGCAGUUGAAAAGAUGGCAGUACCGGUGUGUGUGUAGAUCUAUAUGUAUUUGGAUAUAGAUAAACCAGAAUCUACAUUAAGGGAAUGUCACAAACACUACAAAUUCAAGGACUCAAAUAUAGUUCAGUUCAACCUUUGAACAAGGGUAAAAAAGGAUUUGAGAUAUUCUCUGUGCACUUGAAGUAGCUAGCAACAACAUGAUGGCAGUUCUAAGUAAAGGGCUUUAAUCAGAGUAUAUAAAAAGACUGGAAGGAUGUUUGAACAACAUGUCCAGCUCCCAAGCAUUGUCUCUUUCCUGCUAUCAGUGACACCCAUUGUGCAAUAACAACAUUUGCACAGAGAUGCGUCCUGCUUUGCAGAGAGAGAAUAUACUGAAGCAGCCAUAGGGCUGUGCUAGCCUUGGCUAGAAGAGUCCCCAAGGGCCUGUCUGCCAGCUGCUGACUGAUGUAGAGCUGCUGCUGCUGAUAAUAGGGUACAUGCUCCAACUCCAAGCUGAACUAGACAAUCCUGGGCACAGUCAGAUGUGCUCACAGGGAUCAAGUUCAAGCCUGUUUAAGGAGUUAGUUCCCGUCAGUGCUGAUUUAAGCUAAGGAGUUUUGCUGUGUAUUGGAAAGGACUAGGAAUGCUCACAGAGUCAGCUACUUCAUCUUGGCUGUCAUAGUGGUGAUUUCAACAGAGCCAGGGGAGUCGGAAAGACAACAAACAGCUGAGAUCUGUAACUUCUUAAAUCAUGCAGACACAAGCUGCAAAAGGUGUAUUUCCAUUAGAUGUAUGCCUGCUUGUACGUACUAAAACUAUGCUUUUUCAAAAUAGUUUAGGCAAGAGGUGCCUAAACUUCUUUACCUAAACUUUCUUUGAAACUUCUUCAUUCCACACUGGAAGUGGUUGGUGGUGGUUGAACAUUGCUGAUAUAUUCAGGCGUGCAACUGCAGCAGGCAAAAUGACAGGGCAAAAUGACACAAAUUUUUGCUGUAGAGAUUGAUAUAUUAUUGUCGGAGAGCAAACGUAAAUUUCCCCCACUCUACUGAAUGCUCUCACAGCAGAGGAAAUUAAAAAAUGAUCAUUGCAAGGUUCAAUAGAAUGUAAAUACACUAAUAAUUAGGCAAAAGCAUAUUGUACGUGACAUCUGUGUUAAUGUCACCCAAAUUCAUCAUUAACCAUGUUCCUUCUAGGAGUAUUCCACAUGUGCUAAGCAGGAUCUGCUUUUGUGUGAACAGUUUCACACCAUCCGGUAACACUGAGAUCAGCUAUGUGGUCUUCCAGGCUUGGGAGCAAGAAUUGGCUGUGUAUCAGAAUAGUCAUAUUGUGAGAUUACUGAGCGCAGCUCUUCUGUGUUUCCCAAAAUUGUUCAGUGUCUUCACCAGAGGAGCUUGCAUUACAGAGCAGGAAAGGCAACUAAGGAUCUUCUGAGUGAUUAUCACCUCCUGAAAGUAUUAAUUGCACAUUCCCAUGCAGAAACCUAGUUGUGGAGUGGCAGUUCAGCUGUAACUGUUCAACUUUUUCCUGAGAGAUUCCUAGUGAGGGCACCCUUAGGCAGAUCCAGCACCCUAAGGCAGAUCCACAAAAGUAUCUCAGUGUCUAAGCCCUAAGUAGGCCCCUGAGCUAUAUAACAGAAAUCAAAUGCUGAGGUUCCCAUUGGUUUAUGUUAAGAGGAGUUGAGGUAUUGAAAAAAAAAAAAAAAAGGCACAGUAAGUAAGUGCCUACUCUGCCUUGGACACACUAAGGUGAAACAAAGAUGACUUCUAUCUAGAAUAAAUUGUUCUGUUUUCUAAGUGAUCACUUUAUAGUGAAAAUGCAGGUGAAGAAACACAAGAAAAAAGACUUAAAACUUGUUACCUUGGCAAAGCUCUCUUUGACCAUAAUAGAAUUUUACCUUUGCAUGGAUUAAGAGAACAGCGGAAUCUGAACAGCUGGUCGCUUAGUUAGGUUGUUGGUGUUUCUAAACCUGUAAUAAGACUGUACUGAAUGUGAAUAUCUUAUGAUCUGAAUACAGAGAUCUUUUACCAUUGCUCAAGGCCUCUUGAAGGCAAUGCACACAACAUACAAAUGGAAGCUGUAAUCUAUAAUGCCACAAAUCCUUUAGGAGGAUUAUCUCUGUUAUCUCAUCUGACAUCAGAGAAUUACAUGUAAUAUAGACACGUAAAUGGCUUAGUCACAGAAAGAUCCUUUAGAAAAGAAUAGGAGAGAAGAAAUUUUGUAAGUCUCUAGGUAGGGGAGAAGAGGGAAGGCUGUUCAAAUGAGAAAUGGACCGCAGCUAAAAUCUUGUCUGGGUAGAUCUGUAGAUCUCGCUUACUUCAGAGAAUUAGCCAAGGGAGCUGCGUCCUCACUGUCUUGUUUUGCAUGUAGUCAUUUACACCUCUGCAAAGGCUGGAUGCCACACAUGCUUGUGCCUCCACUUCCCUCUGGCUGUCCUCAGCCAAUUCGCAUGAAUGUCAGGGGCUAUGCAAGAAGUAAGGCAAUGAAGGAUUAAACUGUUGUAGCUCCAUGUUGGCCAGACAAAAGCCUUGGAUUUUAAUAACUUGAACCCAGGAUAGGGUCGUUUGACCUAUAACACUUAGCAGCACAGCUAGACAGAAGAUUUACUCAUUGCAAGGCCAGCCUAGAUUCAUCUUUCAGGGUUCUGCUCUCCUACUGCCUUCACUUAUUUUUCUUUAUAGGACCUUGCUGGUUUCUUCAGAGCGAAAACUGACAAGUAUGAUGUGAUUUCCUGUCGUCUGUGCCUUUUGUUAUGCCUCCUACCUGUCUUGCCUCUUUUUCUACCCAGGAAAAUGAGGCUCUAACCUAGUCUUGUCCACUUGCUUGCCUUCUAGUUACCUCUCCUUCUCAUGUAUAUAUCAAUCGCCCUACUUUUCCCCUUAAAUUUCCACUCUGGCUUUUUUUUUUUUUUUUAACCAACAAUAAAAGUAGCAUUGGUCUUUCCCUUCUUAAAAAUACUUAUCUAUCAGAAUACCUUCCCUCUCCAGUUACCAACCAAUUACCAACUCUUUCCUUCCUUUUAUUUCUAAUUGCAUCUCUGACAGCACUGAAUGUGUUGUUUAUUGCCUAUAUGCCAAUGUCAGAGGUGCUGCCCUAGACCCUCUCCAAUCCAGCAUCUACACUUCUCAUUCAUCUGAAAUCACUCUCACCAAACUUUUUAAUGAUGGUAGGACAAAAGGAAAAGAAGGGAAAGGAUAUGUUGGCAAACCCUGUAAUUUUCAAUACCUAGUUUAUAUUCUUGUGUUUUAGGAACUGAUUAAAAACCUACUGAAACUAAUGAAAUCUUUCCAAUAAUGUAAUGGUCUUUAAACUAGGACUAGUAAAAUUACACAUUGUGUGAGUUAGGGUUCAAGAAGGAAUUCGAGUAGUUUUGUGCAUACAUGGCUCAUUUCCUGUAGCUUUCACACUGUCCUUUCCACUCCACUGACCUCUGUCUGAUCGUAUACAAUCUCUUUUAUAUUCACUCUUGCAGGAUAAGUAGUUGGAUGUGCAUAGAAGAAUGUUCCAUUUUCUGAAAGAAUUUCUUGGAUUCCCUGAAGAGAUUAGUACAGAAUUUUAAUUAGGGGCAUUGGCAGAGUUCCCAUAUGCUGGUAUAUUAGGCUGUGGUUUUCAUUUUCAUCCCCCAUUUUGGUUCCUCUAUUUCAAUGGAAGUAUGAGAAUGAUGACUAGUGAAUGGUGUACGUUUUUUUGCUCCAAUAUUUGUCCCUCCCAUUGAUACGGAUGAGUCAUGAUUAGCAGCGAAGUCCUGUCUUUUUUUACUAGAGGCUGGUGAUGUUGCCCGAUGUGCUGAAGCCAACUGUCCAAAAGUUAUCAGAGUUGGAAGUGACCAGUAAAGUUUCCACUAAAACUCUGGAAGGCGUACAGGAUGCAAGUGUCAUUAAUUAAGUUCUAAGAAACUACAGUGCUGUGGGAACCUGGCGUAAAAUACACAAGCUGAACUUUGUUUGCAACUUCCUUCUAUUUAGGGAUUCAUUAAAGGGCUGAAGCAUUUGUAGUGAUUUCAGGACCCAGUGCUAGAAUAGCUAAUUGCUGGCUUGGUCUUUUGUAUACAGUGUAGCACAUAAAAGGACUGUGAUCAAAGAAUGCAGGUGCUGCUGAGGGCAAUGAGAAUGCAAGUAUGGUGAUUGCUUGCCGGAUACAAUAUAUAACAUUUCAUUUAACUGCACUUUGCUUUGGUCCAUGAUUGGAUUUUGUAGGAACUGCUGAAUGAUUUUGACUGAAGUGACUCAAAUGCAUUGUUUAAGCAGAGCCAAAAGUUUAUACCUCCUCUUUCAUCUUCCUCCUGCUUCCCCACCCCGUCCCCUUCUAGCACCUGAGGGAAACAUAACCACUGGUGCAGAUCUAACUUAGACUAAGGCUUAUUGUAAGCUGAAGCUGCUUUCACCUUCCCCCGCUUGUUAGAGGUGGCUAUCACAGUUAAUUUCUCCUGGAUCCAUGGUCUUGUAGUGGAGGAGAACCAAGUUACACAGUACAGCUUGGCUUAACUACCUUCACAGUGAGAGCUUAAGAAACUAUAAAUAAUGAAUCUUAUGACUGUAUUUACAAGACGUAGAUUUUCUUCAGUUCUUGCUGUAACUGUUCCCAUCUUGUCAAUCUUUUCUUGCUAUAUUAAUGGAAUGUUCUCACCAAAUGGUAAAGAGAAGUCUGUGGCAAACUAUUGUAAGUAAGUGGAGUUGUGGACCCUGUCUUGGAGAGCACGCAUGAGUAAUUAGAUAAUAUGGCCUUCUGUCAACCCUUUUUAGCGGGAGGGGUUAAAAUCUGUAUUUUCAGGCCAAGAGCAGGUGUCUGUGAUGAGAUCCCAUGCUGUGACAUGCAUGCAGCACAUUCUUACAUGAAAAGCCCUGGCUGAUGAAAUGCCCACAGGAAGAUAACGUGGAACCCUCCUGGCAUGAUCAGAAGAAGUUUAAUUGAGCUCUGUGCUUUGCCUUGUGUUAUUAUGAUUUUACACUAAGGAACUUAAAACUUCUAAUUUCUAUGAAGCAACUUAAGAAAUGCUUUGUCUAUGCAUAACUGUGUCCAUUGUAAUAAUGGUUAAGCAGAGAGUUGAAAAGUGAAGCCACUCAGUGAGUCAGUGAUGAAACUGGAAAGUCAAGACUAAAGUCUCCAUGUCCAUCUUAAUGCAGAACAUGUGGUGAAAAACUGUACCCUAGCUAUACAGGGAUUUAUGGAGUGGCAAAGAACAGCUUGUGGCUUCAUAAACACCUUUGUAUUUUUUCGAUAUAAGAAUUUGUUCUUUUUUUUCUUAUUUUUUUAGCUCAAAACAGUCUAGGUCCUUCUUAAACAUGAAAGAAGGCUGCAUCUGUCCUGAGAAAAGUCAUUAGCCAAAUUAGGCAUAAGAUAAUGAGGGGCUGAGAAGAAGGUAAUAAGACGCAGGGGUGGUGAGGGGAACAUGGACAAGGAGACAGCUUUCUAUAAGGGUAGCUGACUGAAACAAUGGUACAGUACCUCGACUGAUGUAGAGCUAAUUAAAACUGCAUAGGACAAAACACUUGCAAAUAUACUAUAGGGAACAAUCCUUCUAUGGUAAACCCAUCCCCGAUGAAAUUCCAUUGACUUCAACAGGUUUUCAUCAGGGAUGAAUAUGGCCUGAUAACCUAAUAAUUCUUUUCUAUCUCUAAUUUCUAAGCACCUAUUGUCAGAAGUAUAGCAAGGAACUUCCGUCUGGCUUUUGAAAGUGCUGAACACUGAAAACUCCUUACUGAGGUCUCCAGGAAUUGCAGUACCACUGCACAUCAAAGCUGAAUGGACUGUUUAUUGUUUUGUUGUGAGUUUGCUUUCUGUACAGUGCCACCACAUCUGCAAAAAGAUCCUAACUUCACCUCCUAAACCUUUUGUGGCAGGAACUUUCUGUGCAUAGAUACCCCUCACACAGUGCAACACAGAGCUUAGCAAAGGCCUCUAGGCGCUGAUACAGUGAAAUGAAUUAGUAACAACAACAGUAAAUAAUAGUAAUAAAUUCAAAGUAUCUGCAUUUGUGAAGCAAUGUAGAAUAUUACUUGGGCUGGUUAUGUAUAGAUGGGCCUAUUUUUCUUAUCCAGUUUCCAGUUGAUCGCCCAUGAUCUGAUUUGUCAGAUAAAUUUCCAUUGUGUUCACGGUUUUUGUGAACUUACAAAAUUUGUCUUUUUAUGAAUCUGUAAAAGCCAUGUUUGGAGAUAGUCAAAAAUAAAAAUUAAUGCAUCUUAUUAUUGCCCGCAGCACAGACCAAGCGAC